ensembl:lncRNA
AAAGAAUCCACCCAGAAACAAGACAGCACUCAAUUACCUGUGGACGUAACAAGAGAGCAGCUUUUCUGAGAUAUAUAUAGCAGAUGGAACAGAAUAUCAGAUCCCAUGUGUGAGACCUCAGAGUGUGUGGACACAGCUUGUUGGUGCUACAGACAGCAGACUACAGCGUGGAGAGAGUGACAGGACAUCUUGUCCCCGCUCUAAUUAUGCCCAACUCCUCUGGUCUUCUCACCACUGCUGCUUCCACUGCAGUGAAAGUCCCACGACAUCUCCAGAGAAUUCAGCAGUCAAUCCCACCAUCCGGGGAUCACCCACUAGAUGCCAUUCACUCCAUCCAUUGACUCACAAGUGGAGUAGAAGAAAAGUAAGACUCUUUAUGGAUGUCCCCCACCAUAAAGGACGACUUUCAUCUGAUUGGCCAGCCUCCGGAAGCCUGCCAAAAAU